UGCAAGUCGAACGGUAGAGGGGGCAACCCCUUGAGAGUGGCGAACGGGUGAGUAAUAUAUCGGAACGUGCCCAGUCGUGGGGGAUAACGUAGUGAAAAUUACGCUAAUACCGCAUACGAUCUAAGGAUGAAAGCGGGGGACUCGCAAGAGCCUCGCGCGACUGGAGCGGCCGAUAUCAGAUUAGGUAGUUGGUGGGGUAAAGGCUCACCAAGCCAACGAUCUGUAGCUGGUCUGAGAGGACGACCAGCCACACUGGAACUGAGACACGGUCCAGACUCCUACGGGAGGCAGCAGUGGGGAAUUUUGGACAAUGGACGCAAGUCUGAUCCAGCCAUUCCGCGUGCAGGAUGAAGGCCCUCGGGUUGUAAACUGCUUUUGUACGGAACGAAAAGGUCUCUCCUAAUACGAGAGGCUCAUGACGGUACCGUAAGAAUAAGCACCGGCUAACUACGUGCCAGCAGCCGCGGUAAUACGUAGGGUGCAAGCGUUAAUCGGAAUUACUGGGCGUAAAGCGUGCGCAGGCGGUUAUAUAAGACAGAUGUGAAAUCCCCGGGCUCAACCUGGGAACUGCAUUUGUGACUGUAUAGCUAGAGUACGGUAGAGGGGGAUGGAAUUCCGCGUGUAGCAGUGAAAUGCGUAGAUAUGCGGAGGAACACCGAUGGCGAAGGCAAUCCCCUGGACCUGUACUGACGCUCAUGCACGAAAGCGUGGGGGAGCAACAGGAUUAGAUACCCUGGUAGUCCACGCCCUAAACGAUGUC
rnacentral:rRNA from 1 species